rnacentral:rRNA from 2 species
UGGAUCCAGACUUUGAUUAUGGCUCAGGAUGAACGCUAGCUACAGGCUUAACACAUGCAAGUCGAGGGGAAACGAUAGAGAAAGCUUGCUUUCUCUAGGCGUCGACCGGCGCACGGGUGAGUAACGCGUAUCCAACCUGCCCAUCACUUGGGGAUAACCUUGCGAAAGUAAGACUAAUACCCAAUGACGUCCAUAGAAGACAUCUGAAAUGGAUUAAAGAUUUAUCGGUGAUGGAUGGGGAUGCGUCUGAUUAGCUUGUUGGCGGGGUAACGGCCCACCAAGGCGACGAUCAGUAGGGGUUCUGAGAGGGAGGUCCCCCACAUUGGAACUGAGGCACGGUCCAAACUCCUACGGGAGGCAGCUGUGAGGAAUAUUGGUCAAUGGGCGAGAGCCUGAACCAGCCAAGUAGCGUGCAGGAUGACGGCCCUAUGGGUUGUAAACUGCUUUUAUAAGGGAAUAAAGUGAGUCUCGUGAGACUUUUUGCAUGUACCUUAUGAAUAAGGACCGGCUAAUUCCGUGCCAGCGGCCGCGGUAAUACGGAAGGUCCGGGCGUUAUCCGGAUUUAUUGGGUUUAAAGGGAGCGUAGGCCGGAGAUUAAGCGUGUUGUGAAAUGUAGAUGCUCAACGUCUGCACUGCAGCGCGAACUGGUUUCCUUGAGUACGCACAAAGUGGGCGGAAUUCGUGGUGUAGCGGUGAAAUGCUUAGAUAUCACGAAGAACUCCGAUUGCGAAGGCAGCUCACUGGAGCGCAACUGACGCUGAAGCUCGAAAGUGCGGGUAUCGAACAGGAUUAGAUACCCUGGUAGUCCGCACGGUAAACGAUGGAUGCCCGCUGUUGGUCUGAAUAGGUCAGCGGCCAAGCGAAAGCAUUAAGCAUCUCACCUGGGGAGUACGCCGGCAACGGUGCAACUCAAAUGAAUUGACGGA